AACGAACGCUGGCGGCAGGCUUAACACAUGCAAGUCGAACGCCCCGCAAGGGGAGUGGCAGACGGGUGAGUAACGCGUGGGAAUCUACCCAGUUCUACGGAACAACAGUUGGAAACGACUGCUAAUACCGUAUACGCCCUACGGGGGAAAGAUUUAUCGGAAUUGGAUGAGCCCGCGUAAGAUUAGCUAGUUGGUGGGGUAAUGGCCUACCAAGGCUACGAUCUAUAGCUGGUCUGAGAGGAUGAUCAGCCACAUUGGGACUGAGACACGGCCCAAACUCCUACGGGAGGCAGCAGUGGGGAAUAUUGGACAAUGGGCGCGAGCCUGAUCCAGCCAUGCCGCGUGAGUGAUGAAGGUCUUAGGAUUGUAAAGCUCUUUCACCGAUGAAGAUAAUGACGGUAGUCGGAGAAGAAGCCCCGGCUAACUUCGUGCCAGCCGCCGCGGUAACAC
rnacentral:rRNA from 1 species